rnacentral:lncRNA from 1 species
ACAGGUUUCAGCUAGGACCUACAAAGUGAAAAGGACACCUCCUAUAAUAUUUAGCUAGACGGUUCAGAAUUUAUACCUUGUCUCGUCUUUGCUGUUCUGUCUUUAACAUGUAGCAUAAGCCACUCCUGCCUGUAGACACACACACUCAUUCUGCCUUGUUGUGCUGGGCCGUCAGCAGGAACCACUCUUAACUCUAGCUCCAUGUGAGCUCUCUUCCAGGAAGUAAUAGAGCUGGGAUCUCACCAUCGCCAUCACUGUGACGCUGCUGAGGCAGGUUCAGAAAAAACUUGAAUGUCACGCUGGAGGGUGUGGUCUUUAUUCUGCAGGCAGAGGCUUCAAAGCUCAACCACAGCAGGUGCCAGACCAUCUCUGCAGAACCAGUUUGGCCACCAUCACUCAUCAUGCUCCUCCAGGCUCCAUAAGAAAAAGUGCAAAAAUUCCCUAGGAAGAUCAGGGCAGAGACAUCCCUCUAGAAAGAGUCUUCUGCCAUGGUGUGGCCUCCCCAUUUUCCCGGUAUCUCCCAGGGCUCUUUGUACAAGGCGGGCUCUGCAGAGAGACAGUAAAAACCAACCUGAUU